rnacentral:rRNA from 1 species
UACAGAGGUGGCAAGCGUUGUUCGGAAUUACUGGGCGUAAAGGGCGCGUAGGCGGUCCGAUAAGUCCUGUGUGAAAUCCCUCGGCUCAACUGAGGAACUGCACGGGAGACUGUCGGGCUUGAGUUCGGGAGAGGGAAGCGGAAUUCCGGGUGUAGCGGUGAAAUGCGUAGAUAUCCGGAGGAACACCGGUGGCGAAGGCGGCUUCCUGGACCGACACUGACGCUGAGGCGCGAAAGCCAGGGGAGCAAACGGG